CCCGGGUCUUCUCUCUUCCGUAAACCCUAGACAGGGCCGCUGCCGAGCCCAACAUCAGGACUCUCCCCUCAAAUAUAUCCCAGAACUUCAAUUUCAUCUUUUUGUUUCUCAUCCGUUGAUUUCGAUUGCAAAAUAAACUAAAAAGAUGGUUCAGUAUAAUUUUAAGAAGAUCACUGUAGUCCCAAGUGGGAAGGAUUUCAUUGACAUUAUCCUCUCGCGAACGCAAAGGCAAACACCAACAGUUGUACAUAAGGGAUAUGCCAUUUCUCGUCUGCGUCAGUUUUACAUGCGCAAAGUCAAGUACACCCAGCAGAAUUUUCAUGAGAAGUUAUCUACAGUUAUUGAGGAGUUUCCACGACUGGAUGACAUCCACCCAUUCUAUGGUGACCUCCUCCAUGUCCUCUACAACAAAGACCAUUACAAGCUUGCCCUUGGUCAAGUAAACACUGCCAGGAAUCUCAUUAGCAAGAUAGCUAAGGAUUAUGUGAAAUUGUUGAAGUAUGGUGACUCUCUUUAUCGGUGCAAAUCUCUGAAAGUUGCUGCUCUUGGUCGCAUGUGUACUGUGAUUAAGAGGAUUGGCCCUAGUUUAGCUUAUCUGGAGCAAAUAAGACAACAUAUGGCAAGGCUACCUUCAAUUGAUCCCAAUACUCGAACUAUUUUGAUUUGUGGGUAUCCUAAUGUAGGCAAGAGUUCUUUCAUUAACAAGAUCACUAGGGCUGAUGUGGAUGUCCAACCUUAUGCAUUCACUACUAAGUCACUCUUUGUGGGUCAUACAGAUUAUAAGUACUUGAGGUACCAAGUCAUUGAUACACCAGGGAUUCUGGACCGACCUUUUGAAGAUCGUAAUAUCAUUGAGAUGUGCAGUAUCACAGCUCUGGCACAUCUACGAGCUGCUGUGCUGUUCUUCUUGGACAUCUCAGGAUCAUGUGGCUAUAGCAUUGCCCAACAAGCUGCUCUAUUCCAUAGUAUCAAGUCUCUAUUUAUGAACAAACCUUUGAUCAUUGUCUGUAACAAGACUGAUUUGCAGCCACUUGAAGGGAUAUCUGAGGAAGACAAGAAAUUGGUCAUGGAGAUGAAGGCAGAAGCUAUGAAAACUGUGAUUGGUCAAGGAGGUGAACCUACAAAUGGUGAUGGUGUGCUUUUGACAAUGAGCACUUUGACUGAAGAGGGUGUGAUUGCCGUGAAGAAUGCAGCUUGUGAAAGGUUACUGGAUCAGCGAGUGGAAUUGAAGAUGAAAUCUAAAAAGAUAAAUGACUGCUUAAAUCGGUUCCAUGUUGCAAUUCCAAAGCCACGUGACCAGAAAGAAAGGCCACCUUGUAUACCUCAGUCAGUUUUGGAAGCUAAGGCAAAGCAGGCAGCACAGAUGGCAGAGAAGGAAAAGAGAAAAACUGAAAAGGAUUUGGAAGAUGAAAAUGGUGGUGCAGGUGUAUACUCAGCAAAUUUGAGGAAGAAUUACAUCUUAGCCAAUGAUGAAUGGAAAGAUGAUGUAUUGCCUGAAAUUCUGGAUGGUCACAAUGUUUAUGACUUCAUUGAUCCUGAUAUCUUACAGAGACUUGAGGAGUUGGAAGAAGAAGAAGGUAUGCGGCAAGCAGAGGAGGAAAAUGAGGAUUUUAAGAUGGAUGGUGAGGAAUUAACCCCAGAAGAGCAAGCAGCUUUGGCUGAGAUCAGGAAAAAGAAAAGCUUACUCAUUCGAGAGCACAGGAUGAAGAAGAGCACCGCAGAGAGUCGGCCCACUGUACCUAGAAAAUUUGACAAGGACAGGAAGUUCACAACAGAGAGAAUGGGCAGACAGCUUUCAGCUUUGGGGCUGGAUCCCUCUCUGGCAAUUAAUCGUGCCCGGGGCAGGUCACUCUCUAGGAGGGGCCGCAAAAGAGAGAGGUCACUUGACAAAGGAGAUAAUGAUGCUGGUGAUGCUAUGGAUAUGGAUGUUGACCAACAAAAUAAGAAGCUGCGAAUAAGAUCCAGAUCUCGGUCAAGGUCAAAGUCACGGCCACCAGGUGAGGUUGCCCCUGGAGAGGGCUUCAAGGAUUCUGCUCAGAAGGUGAAAGCCCUCAAGCUUGCUAAGAAAUCUGUUAAAAAGAGGAAUAAGGAUGCUCGUCGUGGAGAGGCAGAUAGAGUUAUUCCUACUCUCAAACCUAAGCACUUGUUUUCCGGGAAACGUUCCAUUGGAAAAACCCAAAGACGCUGAUCAUUCAAGG
rnacentral:misc_RNA from 1 species